AUUGAACGCUGGCGGCAUGCCUUACACAUGCAAGUCGAACGGUAACGCGGGGCAACCUGGCGACGAGUGGCGAACGGGUGAGUAAUGCAUCGGAACGUGCCCGGUAGUGGGGGAUAACUGCUCGAAAGAGCAGCUAAUACCGCAUACGACCUGAGGGUGAAAGGGGGGGAUCGACAGACCUCUCGCUAUCGGAGCGGCCGAUGUCGGAUUAGCUAGUUGGUGGGGUAAAGGCCCACCAAGGCAACGAUCCGUAGCUGGUCUGAGAGGACGACCAGCCACACUGGGACUGAGACACGGCCCAGACUCCUACGGGAGGCAGCAGUGGGGAAUUUUGGACAAUGGACGCAAGUCUGAUCCAGCCAUGCCGCGUGCGGGAAGAAGGCCUUCGGGUUGUAAGCCGCUUUUGUCAGGGAAGAAAUCUUCUGGACUAAUACUCUGGGAGGAUGACGGUACCUGAAGAAUAAGCACCGGCUAACUACGUGCCAGCCGCCGCGGUAACAC
rnacentral:rRNA from 1 species